GGAGAAGGGCGGUAGCUCAGUGGCAAAGCAUCUGCCUUGCGAAGCAGAAGGUGUCAAGUUCGAUUCCUGUCAUUUCCA